UUCAGUUGGGCACUUUAAAGAGACUGACCGGUGUUAAACCGGAGGAAGGUGGGGAUGACGUCAAGUCCUCAUGGCCUUUAUGCUUAGGGCUACACACGUGCUACAAUGGGUGGUACAAAGAGAAGCCAACUCGCGAGAGCGCGCCAAUCUCAAAAAGCCAUCCUCAGUUCGGAUUGGAGUCUGCAACUCGACUCCAUGAAGUUGGAAUCGCUAGUAAUCGCGGAUCAGCAUGCCGCGGUGAAUACGUUCCCGGGCCUU
rnacentral:rRNA from 1 species